AGAGUUUGAUCAUGGCUCAGGAUAAACGCUGGCGGCGUGCCUAACACAUGCAAGUCGAACGUUCUCCCUUUUUACGGAGAGGGAGGGAGUGGCGGACGGGUGAGUAACACAUGGGUGACCUGGCCUUUGGUGAGGGAUACCGGCGAGAAAUCGCCGACAAACCCGCAUGGGGUCUUUUUCGUAGCGGAGAGAGAGCAAAG
rnacentral:rRNA from 1 species